GAUCCUGAUCGACGGGUGCCUUUACCAACGCUUUCUUUUUUCUCUCACGUGUGCUUUUGUUUCCCUCUCUGAGUCUGAAGUGAAAAGCAGAGAGUAGCCUUCAGUUGAAGGGAAGCGGUUUUCCGAGAGCCGUUUUCCGAGAAAUACGAGAGAGAGAGAGAGCUCCGGAAACCGUAGGAGUCCUUCGUCCAUCUCCCUCUCUCUCAGUUCGGCUGCUGCAAAUUCUCCCCAACGACUUCAAAUCUGGCCGUUGUGAGCUCCAGCACUAGGAAAUCUCCACAAAAACCCAGACGACCCUAAAAGG